UUUGCGCAUGGGCGAAAGCCUGNGCAGCGACGCCGCGUGGGGGACGAAGCCCUUCGGGGUGUAAACCCCUUUCGACCCGGACGAAGUCCCGCAAGGGAUCGACGGUACGGGAUGAAGAAGCCCCGGCUAACUACGUGCCAGCAGCCGCGGUAAGACGUAGGGGGCCAGCGUUGCUCGGAAUGACUGGGCGUAAAGAGUCUGUAGGCGGUGCGGCAAGUCGGGAGUGAAAUCUCAGGGCUUAACUCUGAGUCUGCUUUCGAAACUGCCGUGCUCGAGUGUGGGAGAGGUGAGUGGAAUUGCAGGUGUAGCGGUGAAAUGCGUANAUAUCUGCAGGAACACCAGAGGCGAAGGCGGCUCACUGGACCACAACUGACGCUGAGAGACGAAAGCUAGGGGAGCAAACAGGAUUAGAUACCCUGGUAGUCCUAGCCCUAAACCAUCAGGACUUGGCGUGGGUCCCGUUCGGGGCCCGUGUCGGAGCUAACGCGUGAAGUCCUGCGCCUGGGGAGUACGGUCGCAAGGCUGAAACUCAAAAAAAUUGACGGA
rnacentral:rRNA from 1 species